rnacentral:rRNA from 1 species
UACGUAGGUGACAAGCGUUGCCCGGACUUACUGGGCGUAAAGAGCGCGCAGGCGGUCGAUCAAGUCGAGUGUGAAAGCCCCCGGCUCAACUGGGGAGGGUCAUUCGAUACUGAUCGACUCGAAGGCAGGAGAGGGUAGUGGAAUUCCCGGUGUAGUGGUGAAAUGCGUAGAUAUCGGGAGGAACACCAGUGGCGAAGGCGACUACCUGGCCUGUUCUUGACGCUGAGGCGCGAAAGCUAGGGGAGCAAACGGG